rnacentral:rRNA from 1 species
GACAGGGAGGACAGGUGGUGCGAUGGUUGUCGUCAGCUCGUGUCGUGAGAUGUUGGGUUAAGUCCCGCAACGAGCGCAACCCUACGUUAGUUGCUAACGCGUGAAGGCGAGCACUCUAGACGAACUGCCGUUGACAAAACGGAGGAAGGUGGGGAUGACGUCAAAUCAUCAUGCCCCUUAUGUUCUGGGCUACACACGUGCUACAAUGGCCGGUACAGACGGACGCAAAGCCGCGAGGUGGAGCAAAUCCUAAAAAGCCGGUCUCAGUUCGGAUUGCAGGCUGCAAUUCGCCUGCAUGAAGUCGGAAUCGCUAGUAAUCGCAGGUCAGCAUACUGCGGUGAAUACGUUCCCGGGCCUU